CAUGCAUGUAUUUGUAUGCGCACUCCAGCAAUUCGGCAUACGUCCGGAGGAGGGUCUUGUCCAAGAAAUAUAUGAAUCGGGAUCCCCUUAGCCCUCUUUUCAUGGCCGAGAUAGCCAUGUCUUCGUUGAGGUCCCGGACCUCGAGAGUGGCCGCGUUGAAUCGGGCCACAAAGUAUCGGAGUGUCUCAUUUUCUCUCUGCUUGAGGAAGA
rnacentral:lncRNA from 1 species